rnacentral:tRNA from 1 species
CGGGCAGUAGGUCAGUGGUAGAUCUCCCCCGCUUCGAACGGGGAGACCUGGGUUCGAUUGCCGGCUGCUUAC